GAUGAACGCUGGCGGCGUGCCUAAUACAUGCAAGUCGAGCGAAUGGAUUAAGAGCUUGCUCUUAUGAAGUUAGCGGCGGACGGGUGAGUAACACGUGGGUAACCUGCCCAUGAGACUGGGAUAACUCAGGGAAACCGGGGCUAAUACCGGAUAACAUUUUGAACAGCAUGGUUCGAAAUUGAAAGGCGGCUUCGGCUGUCACUUAUGGAUGGACCCGCGUCGCAUUAGCUAGUUGGUGAGGUAACGGCUCACCAAGGCAACGAUGCGUAGCCGACCUGAGAGGGUGAUCGGCCACACUGGGACUGAGACACGGCCCAGACUCCUACGGGAGGCAGCAGUAGGGAAUCUUCCGCAAUGGACGAAAGUCUGACGGAGCAACGCCGCGUGUGUGAUGAAGGCUUUCGGGUCGUAAAACUCUGUUGUUAGGGAAGAACAAGUGCUAGUUGAAUAAGCUGGCACCUUGACGGUACCUAACCAGAAAGCCACGGCUAACUACGUGCCAGCCGCCGCAGUAA
rnacentral:rRNA from 1 species